rnacentral:rRNA from 1 species
AACGGAGGGUGCGAGCGUUGCCCGGAUUUACUGGGCUUAAAGGGUCCGUAGGCGGUGUCCUAAGUCCUCCGUGAAAGCUGCCCGCUCAACGGGCAGAGGUCGGGGGAGACUGGGACACUUGAGGGCGGGAGAGGCCGGCUGAACGGCGGGGGGGACGGUGAAAUGAGUCGAUAACCGCCGGAACACCAGUGGCGAAGGCGGCCGGCUGGAACGCCCCUGACGCUGAGGGACGAAGGCCGGGGGAGCGAACCGG